UUGGAGGGCAAGUCUGGUGCCAGCAGCCGCGGUAAUUCCAGCUCCAAUAGCGUAUAUUAAAGUUGUUGCAGUUAAAAAGCUCGUAGUUGGAUUUCGGAGUUUGUCGGUUGGUCGGGCUUCAUUGUCCGCACUGGCCUGAUGGAUUCCUACCUUCUGAAUAACCAGCAUGCUAUUAAGUUAGUGCGUUGGGGAAGCAGAGCUAUUACCUUGAAAAAAUUAGAGUGCUUAAAGCAGGCUUAUGCUUGAAUAGAUUAGCAUGGAAUAAUAAAAUAGGACGGCAUGGUUCUAUUUUAUUGGUUUCUAGGAUCACCGUAAUGAUUAAUAGGGAUAGUUGGGGGCAUUAGUAUUCAAUUGUCAGAGGUGAAAUUCUUGGAUUUAUUGAAGACUAACUUCUGCGAAAGCAUUUGCCAAGGAUGUUUUCAUUAAUCAAGAACGAAAGUUAGGGGAUCGAAGACGAUCAGAUACCGUCGUAGUCUUAACCAUAAACUAUGCCGACUAGGGAUCGGACGAUGUUAAUUUUUUAAUGACUCGUUCGGCGCCUUACGGGAACC
rnacentral:rRNA from 1 species